rnacentral:rRNA from 1 species
GACGAACGCUGGCGGCGCGCCUAACACAUGCAAGUCGAACGAGCGAGAGAGAGCUUGCUUUCUCGAGCGAGUGGCGAACGGGUGAGUAACGCGUGAGGAACCUGCCUCAAAGAGGGGGACAACAGUUGGAAACGACUGCUAAUACCGCAUAAGCCCACGACCCGGCAUCGGGUAGAGGGAAAAGGAGCAAUCCGCUUUGAGAUGGCCUCGCGUCCGUUUAGCUAGUUGGUGAGGUAACGGCCCACCAAGGCGACGAUCGGUAGCCGGACUGAGAGGUUGAACGGCCACAUUGGGACUGAGACACGGCCCAGACUCCUACGGGAGGCAGCAGUGGGGAAUAUUGCACAAUGGGGGAAACCCUGAUGCAGCGACGCCGCGUGGAGGAAGAAGGUCUUCGGAUUGUAAACUCCUGUUGUUGAGGAAGAUAAUGACGGUACUCAACAAGGAAGUGACGGCUAACUACGUG